GGGCAAAACCGGUAACUGGGGCUAAGUCGUAACAAGGUAGCCGUACCGGAAGGUGUGGCUGGAACACCUCCUUUUUGGAGC
rnacentral:rRNA from 1 species